CCGCCUGGGGAGUACGGCCGCAAGGUUAAAACUCAAAUGAAUUGACGGGGGCCCGCACAAGCGGUGGAGCAUGUGGUUUAAUUCGAUGCAACGCGAAGAACCUUACCUACUCUUGACAUCCACGGAACUUGGCAGAGAUGCCUUGGUGCCUUCGGGAACCGUGAGACAGGUGCUGCAUGGCUGUCGUCAGCUCGUGUUGUGAAAUGUUGGGUUAAGUCCCGCAACGAGCGCAACCCUUAUCCUUUGUUGCCAGCGAUUCGGUCGGGAACUCA
rnacentral:rRNA from 1 species